rnacentral:rRNA from 1 species
UACAGAGGGUGCGAGAGUUUAUCGGAAUUACUGGGCGUAAAGCGCACGUAGGCGGCUUGGUAUGGCGGGUGUGAAAUCCCCGGGCUCAACCUGGGAACUGCAUCCGAAACUGCCUUGCUCGAGUAUGGGAGAGGGAAGUGGAAUUUCCGGUGUAGCGGCGAAAUGCGUAGAUAUCGGAAGGAACAUCAGUGGCGAAGGCGACUUCCUGGACCAAUACUGACGCUCAGGUGCGAAAGCGUGGGGAGCAAACAGG